rnacentral:rRNA from 1 species
UGGGGAAUUUUCCGCAAUGGGGGCAACCCUGACGGAGCAACGCCGCGUGGGGGAGGAAUGUCUGUGGAUUGUAAACCCCUUUUCUCAGGGAAGAAGUUCUGACGGUACCUGAGGAAUCAGCAUCGGCUAACUCCGUGCCAGCAGCCGCGGUAAGACGGAGGAUGCAAGCGUUAUCCGGAAUUAUUGGGCGUAAAGCGUCCGUAGGCGGUUUUUCAAGUCUGUCGUUAAAGACUGCAGCUCAACUCCAGGUAGGCGCAGGAAACUGAGGAACUGGAGUACGGUAGGGGUAGAGGGAAUUCCCAGUGUAGCGGUGAAAUGCGGAGAUAUUGGGAAGAACACCAGUGGCGAAGGCGCUCUACUGGGCCGUAACUGACGCUGAGGGACGAAAGCUAGGGGAGCGAAAGGGAUUAGAUACCCCCGUAGUCC